rnacentral:rRNA from 1 species
GACGAACGCUGGCGGCGUGCUUAACACAUGCAAGUCGAACGGAAAGGCCUCUUUCGGGGGGUACUCGAGUGGCGAACGGGUGAGUAACACGUGAGUAACCUGCCCUUGACUUUGGGAUAACUUCAGGAAACUGGGGCUAAUACCCGAUAGGAGCUCCUGCUGCAUGGUGGGGGUUGGAAAGUUUCGGCGGUUGGGGAUGGACUCGCGGCUUAUCAGCUUGUUGGUGGGGUAGUGGCUUACCAAGGCUUUGACGGGUAGCCGGCCUGAGAGGGUGACCGGCCACAUUGGGACUGAGAUACGGCCCAGACUCCUACGGGAGGCAGCAGUGGGGAAUAUUGCACAAUGGGUGGAAGCCUGAUGCAGCAACGCCGUGUGCGGGAUGACGGCCUUCGGGUUGUAACCCGCUUUCGCUCAUGACGAAGCUUUGUGUGACGGUAGUGGGUAAAGAAGCACCGGCUAACUACGUG